rnacentral:tRNA from 1 species
GGGCCUAUAGCUCAGUCGGUAGAGCAGCGGACUUUUAAUCCGUUGGUCGUGGGUUCGAUCCCCACUGGGCCUACCA